CAGAGGGUAAUAUGAGCAAAGGCCUUGUGAAGUCGGUCAGGUUAGGAAUAAAGCAGCCGUAGCAUUGUCCCUUUGGGUUGUAUUGCCCAUUUUUUAUU
rnacentral:SRP_RNA from 15 species